GGCUCAGACGGUAAAGCGUCUGCCUGCAAUGCAGGAGACCCGGGUUCAAUUCCUGG
rnacentral:tRNA from 1 species